UAAGGCCUGAACCCUCUAGGGUAUUUAUACAUACUGCUCUGUCAUUAGGAAGUAUUGUUAAGUUUAUUAGAGUUGGUGAGCCUAAAAUUAGACCGCGGUUUCCUAACAAUAAGAGAAAUUCUCUUCAAAAGCACCUCUGGAAUGUCUCUUUGUAUUCUCAUCUGCACCAUUUUUUUUCAUUGAAAUUUUCAUAUAUUCAAUUAUAAAUGUUUAUCCUUAUAUUGAAAAGUUGAGAUCUGAACAACUCAAAAAUUAAACGUCAAGUAUGUAAAUAAGUCCAAAUUUUCAUUUAUCCAAAAUUGGCCAAUCGCGAGAGAACUGAAGUCUUCAGAUAUUCCUUUCAAACGAUAUAACCAAUAAUUUCAUUUUACAUUUGCUGAAACAGAAAAAAGUAAAAGGAACGAAAAAUUUCGUCUGUUUUGUGAUAAGUUUGACCGUAAAUAUCAGUGACGUCGUUAAACUUUACCAUUGAGGCUAUUUGCUCGUUACCUUACGAUACCAUUGAUCACCUUUAACGUGUGUGGAAUCAUACCUGCCAUUAACUUCAGGAAAGUGGUUGAAAGCUUGGAAAAGUAGCGCUCAAAAUCACAGAUAUCCUACCAAUCAUUACAAUUCGAGUUUACUUUGUUGGUCAUAGUUUGAUUUCAUUCCAAAUAAUUUAUUUCUUUUGGCUAAUUAAACGGUUACAUUAAUUUAAAAAGCUUAAGCUUACUUUUUUUCAAUUAUGAAUACCACACGCAGAUGUCUUUCGCCUGUUCAAAUUUACGUAGUGUUGUCAGUUGUUCUUUUAUUGGGAUCAGACAACUUUGUUCAGGCCAUUUCAAAACGAUUCAAACCCUGCAGUUCGAAAAUGCAGCAGCAGCAAGGGUGCGAUUACCGGAGAGAAUACUGCGCUUAUGAAGUGAAGCGCGUACCACGGGGAUAUCAGGCGCUGAAAAGCUGCUUCCCCAUGGAGUCCACCGACGCUUUUUGCCGAUUCGACAGCCAAUGCUAUUCACAGGAAUGCAUCGACAACCGAUGCUACGAAGAACCAAUAAUGGAGGAAGGAGAAAUAUAAACACAUUCUAAUGAUUCAUGAAAUUUUUUCGUAGGAGUCUUUGAAACCGUAAUUGAUUGACAGGUAUAGUCUAUCCAGUAUCAAAGCUUUUUUCCAUUAGUUAUACAUCUGACUGAAAAAAAUUUCUGAAGUA